ensembl:lncRNA
AAAUAUACUGUAACACCGGUAAACGCGAUGGCGGCAACCGGCAUUCAGACACAAACAUAUCACGUCAUACACUGCCUAUUACAAAAUGAACAAGAUAUUAAUAUGUUGGAGACUGAUGGUCCUGAAGAUGAGAACUCAUUUGACCCUGUAAAAAUAGCAUCUAAACUCAGGGAACUGGGUGACGAUUAUGAUGAGAAAGUGAUCCAGCCACUGAUGAAGAAUGUACAGAGAGCUGCAGCUGAUCAGGUGGUGACUGUGUUCAGUGAUAGCGUGGACAGUCUGUGUAAGAUGUGGGCUGUGGAAAGAGCAGAAGUGGCCUCAGAGAAGCAGCUCCUCAAGGCUGCCAUCACACUGGGACUCUUUAUGAAGAAAAAAUGCCCUGCCAUGACGAAUGUAGUUGAGGUCGCUAUGAUGGGAUUCGUCAACAAUCGUCUAACAAACUGGAUUUCAGAGCAAGGGGGCUGGGUCUCUGUCUCUAAGAACAGCAUGUGUUAAGUUUGGAGCCCGUUCUCUGAAAGACGCUCAAUCAUUUCUCUAAAGUUUGAUUUGUAAUCCAGGAUAAACUUUAAAUGGUGCUCUUUCAGACAAUCACAGGCAGAAAAAGGUCUGUUAUUUUUUUUAUUAAUUAAACUCAUAUACAGAUAUUUGUUUGAAUGUUUCAGUUGAUGCAAGGAUUCUCAACCAACAAUGUUUUUUUUUAAAUAAUAGACUUGUGUGUCUUAUGAUGUAGUCAGAUUCUCUAGUCACAUUUCUUUACAUCACUGAUGUAACUCACAAGUCUGUGUAUGUGGAGUAAAACUGGAAUGUUAUUUUAAAUCCUUUGAAAAUGAAGCACUUUGAACAAAUGUAUCAGUCUCAUAGGAACAUGUGUGUUGUAAUAAACAUUAGUAAAAUGUUAAAAUGUUAGUCUUC